rnacentral:rRNA from 1 species
GAUGAACGCUAGCGGCAGGCCUAAUACAUGCAAGUCGGACGGGAUUGAGGAGCUUGCUUCUCAUGAGAGUGGCGCACGGGUGCGUAACACGUAUGUAACCUACCCUAGUCAGGGGGAUAGCCUCUCGAAAGAGAGAUUAACACCGCAUAACAUUAUGAUAUGGCAUCAUAUUAUAAUCAAAUAUUUAUAGGACUAAGAUGGGCAUGCGGAACAUUAGCUAGUUGGUAAGGUAACGGCUUACCAAGGCUACGAUGUUUAGGGGAUCUGAGAGGAUGACCCCCCACACUGGUACGGAGACACGGACCAGACUCCUACGUGAGGCAGCAGUAAGGAAUAUUGGUCAAUGGACGCAAGUCUGAACCAGCCAUGCCGCGUGCAGGAAGACGGCCCUACGGGUUGUAAACUGCUUUUGUACCGGAAUAAACCUUUGUAUGUAUACGAAGCUGAAUGUACGGUAAGAAUAAGGAUCGGCUAACUCCGUGCCAGCCGCCGCGGUAA